ACUUGUGGUACAGUGAGAGAAAUACCAAGGUUUCAUACGAUAGAUACUUCUUCAUAUCAAAAUGUGGACCAGUGGAGUGCAGGGCAUCGGGGAGUCAUCUUGAAAUGAAGAUAGCCGGCCUCGUCUGGCUGUCUGUCCGAUGCUCUCGUGGCACGCACUAUGAUGCGCGCUUUGAAGUCCUGUCAAGCACUUGAGAUACAUUUAUGUGUUUUUUGCAUUUUCAUUGCCUCGACUUCGGGGUCGGGCGGCUCAAAUGCGUGGAAUGAUUAGUUAGUUGGUCAUGCAAAAUGGGUGAAACCGGUUCGGGUUCCCCAACGAUAUUCGCGGGGAGGCGGGCGGAGCGGGUGAUCCUUCAGCAUAAUCAGCGUGCUGCGGCUGCUGCUGCUGCUGAUGAUGAUCGGCACAAAUUACGAACGCACGGAAUGUCCAGAAACCGAGAGCUGAUCACCUGACGCAUGAUCAUUUGCAGAUUGCAAUCACCGAGGAUCGGAGCACCGCUUCAGAUGGUCAGCAUGCAAGUGGCGCUGCUGGCGCUCCUUCUUCUCGGCCAGCUAUUCGCAAGCGCCGUGGCCAAUGGUUCCUCCACCUACACCUCCUCCUCCACAUCCGCAUCGAAUCAGCUGCAGCGACAGAAGCUGGCACACUGGUUCCGGGAUAGCAACGAUGUUAAGGUUAAGAUUCUGGAGCUGCAGUGCCUAGCGAAGUGUGGCAGCAAUCCCACAACCAAAGCCGGACGCGAACAGUGCCUGAACAAGUGCAUCCAGGAGCUUUUGCUGGGACCCAGAGCCGGCAGUUGCCCCAAAAUUGGAAGGCAGUCGCGUGUCAGGCUCUCCUGCCUGGACAACUGUCAGUACGAUCAUGAAUGCCCCGAGGUGCAGAAGUGUUGUCCUUCCAGUUGUGGUCCCAUGUGCGUUGAACCUCUCGGCGUUAGAAACAACACGCAGCUGCCGCCCAUACCGAAGAUCCUGUAUUUCCGGAGGUCACGUGGUCAUGCUGUCGAUCUGAAGAUCGAGUCCUCGCUGCUGGUCUACUACUUCCACGUGGAGGUGCGAUCCCAUAUAGGACGGUAUUUUGCUGCCAGAAAACUGGGUCCUUGGCAGUGGCAGAAGGUGGAGAAGACCAUGGAGGAGAACAUCGGACACAGCAAGCACACGUACAUCUUCUUUCACAUGCGACCUGGUCGCUGGUAUGAGGUUCGAGUGGCAGCCGUGAAUGCCUACGGCUUCCGUGGAUAUUCCGAGCCCAGCGAUCCCUUUCCCUCGACGGGCAACCCAAAGCCUCCAAAGAAGCCGAACGAUUCGAAGAUCAUCGCCAAGCAAUUCGAUGGGCGCCACAUGACCCUUAAGCUGGUGUGGUGCCCCUCCAAGUCCAAUCUGCCUGUCGAGAAGUACAAGAUCACCUGGUCCUUGUACGUAAACAGUGCCAAGGCCUCGAUGAUCACCAACAACUCCUACGUUAAGGAUACCCAUCAAUACGAGAUCAAGGAACUGCUGCCCAACUCCUCGUACUACAUCCAGGUGCAGGCCAUCUCCUACCUGGGAUCGCGUCGCCUCAAGUCCGACCAGUUAUCGAUGUUGUUCAACACGACGCUGCAGCCGCUGGAGCCAAUCACUCCGCUCCAGUGCUCCGGGAAUGGCAAUAGGCGCCGGCAUCAUCACAUUAGCAGCUCCAUGAGCUCGGAACGGGCCACAACCGCGGAGCCAGUUGACCUCAAUGAAGUUUCGCCCAUCAUUACAAACCGGACAGCGGCCGCGGCCACGUAUGAAGUGGGUUUCCGGUUGAACCGGAAGUUCGGCAUGAUUGUGCAGAUUCUGGGCUUCCAGCCACACAAGGAGAAGGUCUAUGAACUGUGUCCCCAGGAGACGAACUGCGAGCAGCGAGAGUUCCGCGCGAUUCGCGCCAAAAAGGACCCGCUGGAGUUCAGCAAGCUCAAGUACGACACCACGUAUGUGCUGAGAAUUCCCCGAUCCAGUCCGAAUUCCGUGCUGGACGACUCCAGAAAUGUCUUUACCUUCACGACGCCUAAAUGUGAAAAUUUCCGCAAGAGAUUUUCCAAGCUGCAGAUCAAGUGCAGCGAUUAGCCUCCUGUGUGUGGGCUCAACGCACUGCUGACCAUGAGAUUACAUUAGAUUGUAUAUAAUUAGGUCCUUAAAUUGCUGUAGAUCCUGCUGCUGACUGGGUUUCUGACUAAUACCGCCCAAGAGUUUGCAGUCCUCCAAGCGAAC